UCCUCUAAAUAAAUAUUCUGUUCAAAACUUAUUAUAAAUAAUCUUGUCUUGUACCUUGGUUAUGAAAGAUUUUCUUCAAUUUUUAACAUGAUUAUCUAUUUUUUUUUAAGAAAAAACCUUGUAAAAGGGUUCUAAUAAAUAAAAAAUACAAUAAUAACUCUGAAUUUUAAUUUAUCAUCAUUAAAAGUCUUCCCUAUUUAUAUAGAUAUCAAGAAAUUAAACCCUAGUAUUCUAAACUAAAUAAAUUUUAAAUGUAAGAAAUUACAAACAAACAAUAAACUUUCCUUUUUCCUACACAACAUCAUAUAAUUUGUCAAAAGAUAUGCUAAUGAUGCUGGAGUUGUGAUUGAGAUUGGACUGCUGAAAGCUCUCUGCAAGCUGUUACAGGAAAUAUUUAUUUGAUUUCAUAGACAAAUGAAUCUUUACAGUGGUCUACAUGAAUGGUACGAUGGCAAAGCUGGGCUGCGUCAUUUGCCAAUUGUGCCGAAGAGAAGAUGGACAUCAUCUGUGCUUGUUGCAUCAAUUGGUGGCGAUUAAUUUGUGGAUGAUGAGGUUGCUUCAUUUACACUACUUUCUCCUUAGAUCUGCGUUGUGACUAUUCUGACAAGAGAUAGUGUAUAGUUUUAUUAUGUUCAUACAAGAUUAAUUCCUCAAAGUAUAACACUUGCUUUCUGUUUAUAUAAUUUCUUGAUGGUGUAAGCAACUAAACGUCUUUCUUUCUAAUAUCUAACUUUAGCUGUCAGACGUAUGAAGGUGGUAUUGCAGGAGAAUCAGGUCACCUUUACACACAAAAGUUGCCUCUAACUAUGUAUUCUCUCUUUUAAAUUUAUUCUAAUUUUGCCUGGAUCCCAACACAAUACAGGUAUCAUUUGAGGAUCCCAGUCUCAAUGUCAGGGCUCUAAGUGAAAAUCCCGAUUUUUAACCUGGAUUAAUCCCAAUACAAACUGGCCAUAGCCUUGGCAAGUGUUUUUCCAAGUAUUAUGGUGUUUGUUUAAUUACCUGGGGCCUAGUAUGGUGUCAUCCAGCCUUUACAAACAGAGAAAGUCAUGAAAGAUUUUGAAUUAAGCUCACUCCAGUUCAUAUACUCCACCUGUAGUAGAUGCCUAUAUUUUCUAUUUAUGGUAUUCUUGCCUGGAUUACAUUUUUAUUAGAGACUUGCAGAUCACUGGCAAUGUUUUCCUAACUAAAAAUUAGAAUCUGUGUUGCCAACUUUGCUCACUCUAUGGCGUUAUGGUCCUGAUUCUUAUUCCAUGCCGACCUGGGUCUUAUCCCAAACUGGCACCUGGCUUUAAUUAAGCCUCUACCAGAAUGUUCACUUCUGAGCUAUCUGCAUUCAUUUCCUUAGAAAGCAGACAAUAUACUUUCAAGUGGAGUGGAAAGUUGCAAUCUCACUCGAACAGUAACAAAUGCAAUUAAGAAUGCAUGCAAAAGCUGAAAAUAAAAAAAAAACAAAAUAAAUACACGUUCAAGUGAAUUUGCCUUCUUUGGUUACUGUUCAAGUGAAUUAAAUUUCAGUGCCAAUCUCUUAACAUGCAAAAUGCAAAAACUGGGAGAGUAGAGACACGACUUACCUGGUCCGUUGGCCACCCUGACUAUUUCAGUCCUCCACUGUUUUUGGUUCUUUGUUUUGCUUUCGUUUCUCUUCUCUCCCUCUCCUCUGUUCUGUAUUCCGUUUUCUUUUCUUUCACAAUGACGAAAGGAUGAAAGAAAGAAACCCCUCUGAUCCCCAAGAUAUAAUGUAAGGAGAGCUGUUCCUUUCUGGAACGUAUGGUCUCAAAAAAAAGUCUUUUAUAUAGUUGAUUUUCCAGUAUUGUUUG
rnacentral:lncRNA from 1 species